ensembl:snRNA U6 U6 spliceosomal RNA
AUGCUUGCUGCAGCAGCACAUGUACUAAAGUUGGAGGGAUACAGAGAAGAUAAACACGGCCGCUGCACAAAGAUGACACGCAAAUUCAUGAAGCGGUCCGUAUUUUU